CGGUUUGUUCAUCAGACCUUAUGUAAAGCAUUUUAGUAAAGCAGUUCUCAGUUCAAGCGUUAUCCUCAGAUACAUCUUCUCCGUGAGUCUCCUCCUAAAGUCCCAUAAGUUAUUCUGAAACGCAGACCACGGUGCUACAACGUAGCGAAAAAAAUAUGUGAGGAAGUUUCUAUGUCUACCCAACUGACUGGUUUAGUAAAAUGGUUUAACGCUGAUAAAGGCUUUGGCUUUAUCACCCCUGAUAACGGCACGAAAGACGUGUUCGUCCACUUCUCAGCGAUUCAAAGCGACAGCUUUAAGACGCUCGAAGAAGGUCAGCGUGUGAAGUUCACCGUUGAAAAUGGCGCGAAAGGCCCUGCGGCUGCUAACGUUAUUGCUGAAUAAAUUCAGCCUG
rnacentral:sRNA from 1 species